GGUUCUUUUGAACUUUAUGGAGACCGAGUCCUGAAACUGGGAACUAACAUGUACAGCGUGAAUCAGCCUGUGGAAACUCAUAUGUCUGGAUCAUCAAAGAACUUAGCCUCAUGGACCCAGGAAAGCAUUGCUCCAAACCCUCUUGCUAAAGAAGAGCUGAAUUUCUUGGCCAGGCUGAUGGGAGGGAUGGAGAUUAAGAAACCCAGUGGCCCUGAGCCCGGAUUCCGGUUGAAUCUCUUUACCACCGAUGAAGAAGAGGAGUAUGUUUUAAACCUGUUUCAUUAAAGACAUAUAAAAAUCCCAAGCAUGACAAGAACACAAAAUGACUAUUACAAACCAGUGGCACUUAUAAAUAUUUGUGCAAAUAUCACAAAAAAAUACCAACAAAUUUAAUAAUCUAAA
rnacentral:sRNA from 1 species